rnacentral:rRNA from 1 species
CCUACGGGAGGCAGCAGUGAGGAAUAUUGGUCAAUGGACGAGAGUCUGAACCAGCCAAGUAGCGUGAAGGAUGACUGCCCUAUGGGUUGUAAACUUCUUUUAUAAAGGAAUAAAACGAGGCACGUGUGCCUUUUCUCAUAUACUUUAUGAAUAAGGACCGGCUAACUGCGUGCCACCAGUCGCGGUAAUACGGAGGAUCCGACCGUUAUCCGGAUUUAUUGGGUUUAAAGGGAGCGUAGAUGGGUUGUUAAGUCAGUUGUGAAAGUUUGCGGGUCAACCGUAAAAUUGCAAUUGAUACUGGCAGUCUUGAGUACAGUUGAGGUAGGCGGAAUGCGUGGUGUAGCGGUGAAAUGCUUAGAUAUCACGAAGAACCCCGAUUGCGAAGGCAGCUUACUAAACUGUGACUGACAUUGAUGCUCGAAAGUGUGGGUAUCGAACAGGAUUAGAUACCCCUGUAGUC